rnacentral:rRNA from 1 species
UACACGACCGUACCGCAAACCGACACUGGUGCGCGAGAUGAGUAUUCUAAGGCGCUUGAGAGAACUCAGGAGAAGGAACUCGGCAAAUUGACACCGUAACUUCGGAAGAAGGUGUGCCUUUAGUAGGUGAACCUGUACAAGGGGAGCCCAAUGAGGUUGCAAAAAAUCGGUGGCUGCGACUGUUUAAUAAAAACACAGCACUCUGCAAACACGAAAGUGGACGUAUAGGGUGUGACGCCUGCCCGGUGCUGGAAGAUUAAAUGAUGGGGUGCAAGCUCUUGAUUGAAGUCCCAGUAAACGGCGGCCGUAACAAUAACGGUCCUAAGGUAGCGAAAUUCCUUGUCGGGUAAGUUCCGACCUGCACGAAUGGCGUAACGAUGGCCACACUGUCUCCUCCUGAGACUCAGCGAAGUUGAAAUGUUUGUGAUGAUGCAAUCUCCCCGCGGAAAGACGGAAAGACCCCAUGAACCUUUACUGUAGCUUUGUAUUGGACUUUGAACAGAUCUGUGUAGGAUAGGUGGGAGGCUUUGAAGUGUGGUCGCUAGAUCGCAUGGAGCCAACGUUGAAAUACCACCCUGGUGUGUUUGAGGUUCUAACCUAGGCCCGUAAUCCGGGUCGGGGACAGUGCAUGGUAGGCAGUUUGACUGGGGCGGUCUCCUCCCAAAGCGUAACGGAGGAGUUCGAAGGUACGCUAGGUACGGUCGGACAUCGUGCUAAUAGUGCAAUGGCAUAAGCGUGCUUAACUGCGAGACUGACAAGUCGAGCAGAUGCGAAAGCAGGACAUAGUGAUCCGGUGGUUCUGUAUGGAAGGGCCAUCGCUCAACGGAUAAAAGGUACUCUGGGGAUAACAGGCUGAUACCGCCCAAGAGUUCAUAUCGACGGCGGUGUUUGGCACCUCGAUGUCGGCUCAUCUCAUCCUGGGGCUGUAGCCGGUCCCAAGGGUAUGGCUGUUCGCCAUUUAAAGAGGUACGUGAGCUGGGUUUAAAACGUCGUGAGACAGUUUGGUCCCUAUCUUCCGUGGGCGCUGCAGAUUUGAGGAAGCCUGCUCCUAGUACGAGAGGACCGGAGUGGACACACCUCUGGUGUAUCGGUUGUCACGCCAGUGGCAUUGCCGAGUAGCUAUGUGUGGAAGAGAUAACCGCUGAAAGCAUCUAAGCGGGAAACUCGUUUCAAGAUGAGAUCUGCCGGGGCCUUGAGCCCCCUAAAGAGUCGUUCAAGACCAGGACGUUGAUAGGUCGGGUGUGGAAGCGCAGUAAUGCGUUAAGCUAACCGAUACUAAUUGCUCGUGCGGCUUGACCC